CCUACGGGCGGCAGCAGUGGGGAGUAUUGCACAAUGGGGGAAACCCUGAUGCAGCGACGCCGCGUGAGUGAAGAAGUAAUUCGUUACGUAAAGCUCUAUCAGCAGGGAAGAAAAUGACGGUAACUGAGUAAGUAGCCCCGGCUAAAUACGUGCCAGCAGCCGCGGUAAUACGUAGGGGGCAAGCGUUCACCGGAUUUAAUGGGUGUAAAGGGAGCGUAGACGGUGCGCCAAGUCUGGAGUGAAAUGCCGUAGCUUAAAUCCGGAACUGCUUUGGAUACUGGCAAACUAGAGUGAGAGAGGGGUAAGCGGAAUUCCAAGUGUAGCGGUGAAAUGCGUAGAUAUUAGGAGGAACACCGGUGGCGAAGGCAGCUUACUGGACCGUAACUGACGUUGAGGGUCGAAAGCGUGGGGAGCAAACAGGAUUAGAUACCCUUGUAGUC
rnacentral:rRNA from 1 species